rnacentral:rRNA from 1 species
GACGAUCAGUAGCCGACCUGAGAGGGUGAUCGGCCACAUUGGAACUGAGACACGGUCCAAACUUCUACGGAAGGCAGCAGUAGGGAAUCUUGCACAAUGGGCGAAAGCCUGAUGCAGCAACGCCGCGUGAAGGAUGAAGGCCUUCGGGUUGUAAACUUCUGUUCUUAGGGAAGAAGAAAGUGACGGUACCUAAGGAGAAAGCCCCGGCUAACUACGUGCCAGCAGCCGCGGUAAUACGUAGGGGGCAAGCGUUAUCCGGAAUUAUUGGGCGUAAAGAGUGCGUAGGUGGUUAUCUAAGCGUAAGGUUUAAGCGUGCAGCUCAACUGCAUCUCGCCUUGCGAACUGGACUACUUGAGUGCAGGAGGGGAAAGCGGAAUUCCUAGUGUAGCGGUGAAAUGCGUAGAUAUUAGGAGGAACACCAGCGGCGAAGGCGGCUUUCUGGACUGUAACUGACACUGAGGCACGAAAGCGUGGGGAGCAAACAGGAUUAGAUACCCUGGUAGUCCACGCCGUAAACGAUGA